AGAUUCACAAAUUGUAUUAUCUCCUCAUCCAAUCCCCAGUUCCAGUGAGGUGUUUACUUUGUAUGAUGAGCAAAUCUCCAAUAUUGAAGAUUCACAAAUUGUAUUAUCUUCUCAUCCAAUCCCCAGUUCCAGUGAGGCGCUUACUUUGCAUGAUGAGCAAAUCUCCAAUAUUGAAGAUUCACAAAUUGUAUUAUCUCCUCAUCCAAUCCCCGGUUCUAGUGAGGCACUUACUUUGCAUGAGGCAUUAUAUUUAAAUAAAAUUUAUAUAAUGACUUUUGAAGGGAAUAAAUUAUGAGGAUAUUCUAAGUCCAAGUCUUAUUCAGC